UACGGAGGGGGCUAGCGUUGUUCGGAAUUACUGGGCGUAAAGCGCGCGUAGGCGGAUCUGCAAGUCGGGGGUGAAAUCCCGAGGCUCAACCUCGGAACUGCCUUCGAUACUGCGGGUCUCGAGUCCGGGAGAGGUGAGUGGAAUUCCUAGUGUAGAGGUGAAAUUCGUAGAUAUUCGCAAGAACACCAGUGGCGAAGGCGGCUUACUGGUCCGGUUCUGACGCUGAGGCGCGAAAGCGUGGGGAGCAAACAGG
rnacentral:rRNA from 1 species